rnacentral:rRNA from 1 species
AUUGAACGCUGGCGGCAGGCCUAACACAUGCAAGUCGAGCGGCAGCGGGAAAGUAGCUUGCUACUUUUGCCGGCGAGCGGCGGACGGGUGAGUAAUGCCUGGGAAAUUGCCCAGUCGAGGGGGAUAACAGUUGGAAACGACUGCUAAUACCGCAUACGCCCUACGGGGGAAAGCAGGGGACCUUCGGGCCUUGCGCGAUUGGAUAUGCCCAGGUGGGAUUAGCUAGUUGGUGAGGUAAUGGCUCACCAAGGCGACGAUCCCUAGCUGGUCUGGGAGGAUGAUCAACCACACUGGAACUGGGACACGGUCCAGACUCCUACGGGAGGCAGCAGGGGGGAAUAUUGCACAAUGGGGGAAACCCUGAUGCAGCCAUGCCGCGUGUGUGAAGAAGGCCUUCGGGUUGUAAAGCACUUUCAGCGAGGAGGAAAGGUCAGUAGCUAAUACCUGCUGACUGUGACGUUACUCGCAGAAGAAGCACCGGCUAACUCCGUGCAGCCGCCGCGGUAAAAC